rnacentral:rRNA from 1 species
GGACUACUGGGGUAUCUAAUCCCAUUUGCUCCCCUAGCUUUCGUUCCUCAGUGUCAGUUAUAGCCCAGCAAGCCGCUUACGCCACCGGUGUUCUUCCCAAUAUCUACGCAUUUCACCGCUACACUGGGAAUUCCGCUUGCCUCUACUACACUCCAGUCUGCCAGUAUCCAAUGCACUCCCGAGGUUGAGCCCCAGUCUUUAACAUCAGACUUAACAAACCACCUACGAACUCUUUACGCCCAAUAAAUCCGGACAACGCUUGCAUCCUACGUCUUACCGCGGCUGCUGGCAC